rnacentral:rRNA from 1 species
UACGUAGGGUGCAAGCGUUAAUCGGAAUUACUGGGCGUAAAGCGUGCGCAGGCGGUUAUGUAAGUCAGUUGUGAAAUCCCCGGGCUCAACCUGGGAACUGCAUCUGGGACUGCAUCGCUGGAGUACGGCAGAGGGGGAUGGAAUUCCGCGUGUAGCAGUGAAAUGCGUAGAUAUGCGGAGGAACACCGAUGGCGAAGGCAAUCCCCUGGGCCUGUACUGACGCUCAUGCACGAAAGCGUGGGGAGCAAACAGG